ACUUAAAUAGUUUAUAAAAAAUAUAAGCUUGUGGCGCUUAAGAUGUAAUCUUAUACUUUAAGUA
rnacentral:tRNA from 1 species